rnacentral:rRNA from 1 species
AUUGAACGCUGGCGGCAGGCCUAACACAUGCAAGUCGAACGAGUGGCGGACGGGUGAGUAAUGUCUGGGAAACUGCCUGCUGUAGGGGGAUAACUACUGGAAACGGUAGCUAAUACCGCAUACCAUCGGAUGUGCCGAGAUGGGAUUAGCUAGUAGGUGGGGUAACGUCUCACCUAGGCGACGCUCCCUAGCUGGUCUGAGAGGAUGACCAGCCACACUGGAACUGAGACACGGCCCGGACUCCGACGUGAGGCAGCAGUGUGGAAGAGUGCACAAUGGGCGCAAGCCUGAUGCAGCCAUGCCGCGUGUGUGAAGAAGGCCUUAGGGUUGUAAAGUACUUUCAGCGGGGAGGCGUUACCCGAAGAAGAAGCACCGGCUAACUCCGUGCAAGCAGCCGCGGUAAUAC